rnacentral:rRNA from 1 species
CAGCCGCCACGGUAAUACGAAGGGUGCAAGCGUUAAUCGGAACUACAGGGCGUAAAGCGUGCGUAGGCGGUGAGUUAAGUCUGCUGUGAAAUCCCCGGGCUCAACCUGGGAAUGGCAGUGGAUACUGGCUCGCUAGAGUGUGUCAGAGGAUGGUGGAAUUCCCGGUGUAGCGGUGAAAUGCGUAGAGAUCGGGAGGAACAUCAGUGGCGAAGGCGGCCAUCUGGGACAACACUGACGCUGAGGCACGAAAGCGUGGGGAGCAAACAGGAUUAGAUACCCGGGUAGUCCCUGUCUCUUAUAC